UCGAGACAAUUUUGAAAAAGGUCGAGCCAAUUUGUAGGAGUCCGACGAGAGCCUUCCCGAAACGCCCUAGCUUCAUUUCCAUCGGUCAAAUGACAUAUUUCCUCGACCCAUAUUGAAAUUUCGUCGCUCAACCAUCCAUUUUAUGAAGAAUGGUCGAGGAACAUUUGCCCCGGGACGAGCUAGAUUCGGAGAUGGGCGAGAAGUACUCUUCUUG
rnacentral:lncRNA from 1 species